AGAUUGAACGCUAGCGGGAUGCUUUACACAUGCAAGUCGAACGGCAGCGCGGACUUCGGUCUGGCGGCGAGUGGCGAACGGGUGAGUAAUAUAUCGGAACGUGCCCAGUAGCGGGGGAUAACUACGCGAAAGCGUGGCUAAUACCGCAUACGCCCUACGGGGGAAAGGGGGGAUCGCAAGACCUCUCACUAUUGGAGCGGCCGAUAUCAGAUUAGCUAGUUGGUGAGGUAAAGGCUCACCAAGGCGACGAUCUGUAGCUGGUUUGAGAGGACGACAGCCACACUGGGACUGAGACACGGCCCAGACUCCUACGGGAGGCAGCAGUGGGGAAUUUGGACAAGUGGGGGAAACCUGAUCCAG
rnacentral:rRNA from 1 species